rnacentral:tRNA from 1 species
UCCCUGGUGGUCUAGUGGUUAGGACUCUGCACUUUCACUACUGAGAGCCCAGGUUUGAUCCCUGGUUGGGGAA